GUGGGGAAUAUUGGACAAUGGGGGGAACCCUGAUCCAGCCAUGCCGCGUGUGUGAAGAAGGCCUUUUGGUUGUAAAGCACUUUAAGCGAGGAGGAGGCUACCGAGAUUAAUACUCUUGGAUAGUGGACGUUACUCGCAGAAUAAGCACCGGCUAACUCUGUGCCAGCAGCCGCGGUAAUACAGAGGGUGCAAGCGUUAAUCGGAUUUACUGGGCGUAAAGCGCGCGUAGGUGGCCAAUUAAGUCAAAUGUGAAAUCCCCGGGCUUAACUUGGGAAUUGCAUUCGAUACUGGUUGGCUAGAGUAUGGGAGAGGAUGGUAGAAUUCCAGGUGUAGCGGUGAAAUGCGUAGAGAUCUGGAGGAAUACCGAUGGCGAAGGCAGCCAUCUGGCCUAAUACUGACACUGAGGUGCGAAAGCAUGGGGAGCAAACAGGAUUAGAUACCCUAGUAGUCC
rnacentral:rRNA from 1 species